rnacentral:rRNA from 1 species
CCUACGGGAGGCUGCAGUGGGGAAUAUUGGACAAUGGGGGCAACCCUGAUCCAGCAAUGCCGCGUGAGUGAUGAAGGCCUUAGGGUUGUAAAGCUCUUUUGCCAGGGACGAUGAUGACGGUACCUGGAGAAUAAGCCCCGGCUAACUUCGUGCCAGCAGCCGCGGUAAUACGAAGGGGGCGAGCGUUGUUCGGAAUUACUGGGCGUAAAGGGCGCGUAGGCGGCCGUUCAAGUUAGAUGUGAAAGUCCUGGGCUUAACCUGGGGACUGCAUUUGAUACUGGAUGGCUUGAAUUCGGGAGAGGAUAGCGGAAUUCCCAGUGUAGAGGUGAAAUUCGUAGAUAUUGGGAAGAACACCGGUGGCGAAGGCGGCUAUCUGGACCGACAUUGACGCUGAGGCGCGAAAGCGUGGGGAGCAAACAGGAUUAGAUACCCCAGUAGUC